GCUGUAGUCCCAGCUACUCAGGAGGCUGAGCCACGAGAAUCGCUUGAACCUGGGAGAUGGAGGUUGAAGUGAGCCAAGAUCGCACCAUUGCACUCCAGCCUGGGGAAAAAAAAAAGCCAGGCCUCCUAAUGUACUCAUUUAAACAUCACUUGUGUCCACCUGGGUUCAGAAUUGCGCUGGACAUGGGAUACACAAAGUUUCAAUUGGCCUCUUGGUGCCAAAGCACCAUGGCGUGUUACACCUAUCAGAUCGGGCACACUGCCCCUUCUUCCCAACCUACGAGCUGAAAUGGCCAGCACUGCGCCUUCCAGAACCCAGCGUAGAUGCACAGCUGCCACGGAGGUAGGAAGAAUGAUUCGUUUGCCACCAAAAGCCCAGUUUCUCCAACAGGUAAGUCCCAGCAGGGUGCGAUGUCCCAAACCUACACAACCGUUUCCACUGCCUAUUCCCGGGCCCCUCACUUGGGUCAAGGCAGCAUUUCAGAGGAAGCCAGGAGCGAGAACUCGUGCAUCCGAACCCUUCUCUGACUUGGCGGGUUAUUGGAUUAGCUACUCUCAGAAGACCCAAAAGGCAUAGGGGAGAGAAGAGAUAAAUCUGGAUGCGGUGGAGACAACGGCCAAACAGAAAAACCGCUUGGAGAAUAAAAGUCGGGGGAAGCCUGUAGUGGG
rnacentral:lncRNA from 1 species